rnacentral:rRNA from 1 species
GUAGGUGGCAAGCGUUGUCCGGAAUUAUUGGGCGUAAAGCGCGCGCAGGCGGUUCUUUAAGUCUGAUGUGAAGGCCCACGGCUCAACCGUGGAGGGUCAUUGGAAACUGGAGAACUUGAGUACAGAAGAGGAAAGCGGAAUUCCACGUGUAGCGGUGAAAUGCGUAGAGAUGUGGAGGAACACCAGUGGCGAAGGCGGCUUUCUGGUCUGUAACUGACGCUGAGGCGCGAAAGCGUGGGGAGCAAACAGGAUUAGAUACCCUGGUAGUCCACGCCGUAAACGAUGAGUGCUAAGUGUUAGGGGGUUUCCGCCCCCCUUAGUGCUGCAGCUAACGCAUUAAGCACUCCGCCCUGGGAGUACGGCCGCAAGGCUG